GACGAACGCUGGCGGCGUGCUUAACACAUGCAAGUCGAACGGAAAGGCCCUGCUUUUGUGGGGUGCUCGAGUGGCGAACGGGUGAGUAACACGUGAGUAACCUGCCCUUGACUUUGGGAUAACUUCAGGAAACUGGGGCUAAUACCGGAUAGGAGCUCCUGCUGCAUGGUGGGGGUUGGAAAGUUUCGGCGGUUGGGGAUGGACUCGCGGCUUAUCAGCUUGUUGGUGGGGUAGUGGCUUACCAAGGCUUUGACGGGUAGCCGGCCUGAGAGGGUGACCGGACGAGUUGGGACGGAGAUAGGGACGAGACGCCGCUGGGAGGAAGCAGGGGGGAGGAGGGCGGAGUGGGCGGAAGCCUGAUGCAGCAACGCGGCGUGCGGGAUGGCGGACUUGGGGUUGUAAAACGCUAUCUACUGUGACGAAGCGGGCGUGACGGUAAUUAGUAAAGAAGCACCGGCUAAGUACGUG
rnacentral:rRNA from 1 species